rnacentral:lncRNA from 1 species
GUGUCACACACACGACCUGUGUCCUUGACUAUUGGUUCUGUGACAUUCAGAAGGACAGUGUUUUUACUUUCUUCAAGGACCCACAGCUGCAGGUGGAUGAUUCCCAUACUGGAACCAAUGAGAAGUCAGACAUUGCCUUCUAUUUCUGAGUGUACUUUGGUCAUUAUGUGGUCAUGAACAGCCAUGUGUGUGGGGCUUGGAAAUGUGAGGUGAGAUGCCACAAUGAGCCCUUUGCAGAUAACAAACCAUUUGACUUGUGCAUUU